rnacentral:rRNA from 1 species
AACGCGAAGAACCUUACCAGGGCUUGACAUCCAGUGACAUCCUAGGAGACUAGGUUUUCUAGCAAUAGAACACUGAGACAGGUGCUGCAUGGCUGUCGUCAGCUCGUGCCGUGAGGUGUUGGGUUAAGUCCCGCAACGAGCGCAACCCUUGUCGUGUGUUGGUACGCAAGUAUCUCUCACGCGAGACCGCCGGUGACAAGCCGGAGGAAGGUGGGGAUGACGUCAAGUCAGCAUGGCCCUUACGUCCUGGGCUACACACGUGCUACAAUGGGGAGGACAGCGAGUCGCUAACCCGCGAGGGUAUGCCAAUCUCUUAAACCUCUCCUCAGUUCGGAUUGAAGGCUGCAACUCGCCUUCAUGAAGUCGGAAUCGCUAGUAAACGCAGAUCAGCUACGCUGCGUUGAAUACGUUCCCGGGCCUUGUA